rnacentral:rRNA from 1 species
AGUCCCGUAACGAGCGCAACCCUUGUCCUUAUUUGCCAGCGCGUAAUGGCGGGAACUCUAAGGAGACUGCCGGUGACAAACCGGAGGAAGGUGGGGACGACGUCAAGUCAUCAUGGCCCUUACGAGUAGGGCUACACACGUGCUACAAUGGUCGGUACAAAGGGUUGCCAACUCGCGAGAGUGAGCCAAUCCCGAAAAGCCGAUCUCAGUCCGGAUCGGAGUCUGCAACUCGACUCCGUGAAGUCGGAAUCGCUAGUAAUCGUGGAUCAGAAUGCCACGGUGAAUACGUUCCCGGGCCUU